rnacentral:lncRNA from 1 species
AUAAAAUUAUGGGUUUAUUAUAUUAAUUUUUAGUACUUUUUUUAAAUAAAGAUUUUAUUUAUUUAUUUGACAGAUCACAAGUAGGCUGAGAGGCAGGCAGAGAGAGAGGAGGAAGCAGACUCCCCGCUGAGCAGAGAGCCUGAUGUGGGCUCGAUCUCAGGACCCUGAGAUCAUGACCUGAGCCGAAGAUUUUUAUUUAUUUGAGAGAGAGAGAGAGAGACUGCGAGAGGGGAAUACAAGCAGAAGAGGGAGAAGCAGGCUUCCUGCUGAGCAGGAAGCCCAAUGUGGGGCUUGAUCCCCUAACCUGUUAUUUCUUAAUCUCCGUGUUCUUUAUGUGUAUGUUG